rnacentral:rRNA from 1 species
AUUGAACGCUGGCGGCAUGCCUUACACAUGCAAGACGAACGGCAGCAUAGGAGCUUGCUCCUGAUGGCGAGUGGCGAACGGGUGAGUAAUAUAUCGGAACGUGCCCUAGAGUGGGGGAUAACUAGUCGAAAGACUAGCUAAUACCGCAUACGAUCUACGGAUGAAAGUGGGGGAUCGCAAGACCUCAUGCUCCUGGAGCGGCCGAUAUCUGAUUAGCUAGUUGGUGGGGUAAAAGCUCACCAAGGCGACGAUCAGUAGCUGGUCUGAGAGGACGACCAGCCACACUGGGACUGAGACACGGCCCAGACUCCUACGGGAGGCAGCAGUGGGGAAUUUUGGACAAUGGGGGCAACCCUGAUCCGGCAAUGCCGCGUGAGUGAAGAAGGCCUUCGGGUUGUAAAGCUCUUUUGUCAGGGAAGAAACGGUUCUGGAUAAUACCUGGGACUAAUGACGGUACCUGAAGAAUAAGCACCGGCUAACUACGUGCCAGCCGCCGCCGUAA